rnacentral:rRNA from 1 species
UACGAAGGGGGCUAGCGUUGCUCGGAAUCACUGGGCGUAAAGGGUGCGUAGGCGGGUCUUUAAGUCAGGGGUGAAAUCCUGGAGCUCAACUCCAGAACUGCCUUUGAUACUGAAGAUCUUGAGUUCGGGAGAGGUGAGUGGAACUGCGAGUGUAGAGGUGAAAUUCGUAGAUAUUCGCAAGAACACCAGUGGCGAAGGCGGCUCUCUGGAACGGUACUGACGCUGAGGCACGAAAGCGUGGGGAGCAAACAGG